rnacentral:rRNA from 1 species
GACGAACGCUGGCGGCGUGCUUAACACAUGCAAGUCGAACGGAAAGGCCCUGCUUGCAGGGUGCUCGAGUGGCGAACGGGUGAGUAACACGUGGGUGAUCUGCCCCUUACUUUGGGAUAAGCCUGGGAAACUGGGUCUAAUACUGGAUAGGACCAUGCUGUAGGUGGUGUGGUGGAAAGAUUAGUUUCGGUAAGGGAUGAGCUCGCGGCCUAUCAGCUUGUUGGUGGGGUAAUGGCCUACCAAGGCGUCGACGGGUAGCCGGCCUGAGAGGGUGGACGGCCACAUUGGGACUGAGACACGGCCCAGACUCCUACGGGAGGCAGCAGUGGGGAAUAUUGCACAAUGGGAGCAAGCCUGAUGCAGCGACGCCGCGUGGGGGAUGACGGCCUUCGGGUUGUAAACUCCUUUCAGCCAUGACGAAGCCCUUGUGGUGACGGUAGUGGUAGAAGAAGCACCGGCUAACUACGUG